rnacentral:rRNA from 1 species
GAUGAACGCUGGCGGCGUGCCUAAUACAUGCAAGUCGAGCGAACAGACGAGGAGCUUGCUCCUCUGACGUUAGCGGCGGACGGGUGAGUAACACGUGGAUAACCUACCUAUAAGACUGGGAUAACUUCGGGAAACCGGAGCUAAUACCGGAUAAUAUAUUGAACCGCAUGGUUCAAUAGUGAAAGACGGUUUUGCUGUCACUUAUAGAUGGAUCCGCGCCGCAUUAGCUAGUUGGUAAGGUAACGGCUUACUAAGGCAACGAUGCGUAGCCGACCUGAGAGGGUGGUCGGCCACCCUGGAACUGAGACACGGUCCAGCCUCCUACGGGAGGCAGCAGUAGGGAAUCUUCCGCAAUGGGCGAAAGCUUGACGGAGCAACGCCGCGUGAGUGAUGAAGGUCUUCGGAUCGUAAAACUCUGUUAUUAGUGAAGAACAAAUGUGUAAGUAACUAUGCACGUCUUGACGGUACCUAAUCAGAAAGCCACGGCUAACUACGUG